rnacentral:rRNA from 1 species
AAUGAACGCUGGCGGCAUGCCUAACACAUGCAAGUCGAACGAUGCUUUCGGGCAUAGUGGCGCACGGGUGCGUAACGCGUGGGAAUCCACCCCUGGGUUCGGAAUAACAGUUGGAAACGACUGCUAAUACCGGAUGAUGACGUAAGUCCAAAGAUUUAUCGCCCAGGGACGAGCCCGCGUAGGAUUAGCUAGUUGGUGGGGUAAAGGCCUACCAAGGCGACGAUCCCUAGCUGGUCUGAGAGGAUGAUCAGCCACACUGGGACUGAGACACGGCCCAGACUCCUACGGGAGGCAGCAGUGGGGAAUAUUGGACAAUGGGCGAAAGCCUGAUCCAGCAAUGCCGCGUGAGUGAUGAAGGCCUUAGGGUUGUAAAGCUCUUUUACCCGGGAUGAUAAUGACAGUACCGGGAGAAUAAGCCCCGGCUAACUCCGUGCCAGCCGCCGCGGUAA